rnacentral:lncRNA from 1 species
CAGGUGAGGAAACAGGGACACACCUUCCCGGAGGAGGGGCAGGGCCCCUCCGCGCGCGAGCCCCAUUGGUGUGAAAGAAGCUCCCGCGUCAGAGCUGGGAAGUGCCGGGCCGGCGGAGAGGGGAGCCCGGGCGCACGGGCCAGGCCGCGGGCUGUCCCAGGGAGCCCCGAGGGCGCGGUGCGCGGGCGCAGGUCGGGCGCAGGCGGGGUGACCCGGGGAAGGGGCGCGCACAGAGACAGAGGGAGCCAGCCGGGCCCCACGGUGUCCUCGGACGCCUCCGAAAUCUCCCUGCGUGUUUGUUUCUUCGGAGCUUCACCGGAGCCUGACUCUGGAACCGGCCUGUCUGCCUGCUGCAGUCUGUCAUUCAACAUUUAUUCAACCAAAAAUACUAAGUCAGCUCUAUACAAACUAAUGGAAGGAUACAGCUAUGCAAAUAUAGAACACUAAAGUGUUACAUGACAGAUGUAUGAGCAGAACUGGGAAGAAAGGACCCUGAAAAGUUAGCUGGUUCCAAGUGACCCUCCAAGGGGAAGAGUGCUGGAUUCAGAGCCCACCUCAGGGGAAGACAGGACCCUCUCCAAGAUGGUUUCCCUAGAAGCUACUACCUCUCCCUGGAGGGUGGAGAUAUUUGCUGGUCAAAGCAAGAAGGCCCUCUGCAGAUGCUGACACCUUGAUAUUGGACUUCCCAGAUUCCAGAACUCUGAGAAAUAAAUUUCUAUUUUAAAUAAAUUACCCAGUCUGUGA